AUUGUUAGUUAGUUGGGACUUGGAAGGAUGGAGCUAGAGAGUACUGGAAGUAGUACAGAAACGGUAGGAUCCCACAGUACUUUGGGGGUUGGGUUUUGUACUCUGGACUGUACUGCAUGUGUGGUGUGUACUACAGAAAGCCCUUUCAGUCCUUUAUUACAGGUUUCUUUUUCUCCAUAAAAAAACCAUUCAAUCUGGCAUCUGCAGAAGUGCACAAGUCUGAUAUUGAUGAAUGAUGCUCAAGAUGAGAUCAACCCACAUUUGGGCAUUUGGGAAUUGGGAUUCUUCCUCCCUUUUCUUUCCUGAAGCAUUUCAAAACUGGGAAACAUAUAAGGGAAGCCGAUCGAUGAUGCUGACUGAUCUAUUCCUCUUCCACAGUCCGAGAUAAAUCUAGAUUCCGACGCAACAGAAAGCUGAAAAGGAAACGGUAGGAUCGAAUUCGAAGGAAGCGAGAUGGGUAUGUAUGUAUAUAUGGGUAGGGGAUUGAUUAUGAGAGGAGAAAGCAGAGACAUGGCAGACGGGGAUGAGGCAGAGCAUGGGGUGGAGUAAUCAACAGUCACAGGAGCUGUUGUUACUCUCCCCAUGCACUGCCUCUUCCCUGGCUCUCUUCUCUCUACUCUCCCGGCCUCCCAGUUUCAGUUUUGUCCCUCCAACGAAAGCUCGAGCAGAUGCCUGAAGAACUGCCCCAACAGGCUCUGCAAGACCAAAAAACACAACCUUCAGAAAGGGCUUAUUCGACCCAGAAAGAGCCCCUGAUAGAGUGAGGGCGCAGCGUGCUACGUCAAUAAUCAGAAUGAGCAGGAACGUGGUGUUCCGAGGCUAGUGAUCAAUUACAAGCCUCUCAAUGAUGCUCUUCAAUGGAUCAGGUAUCCUGUUCCUAACCGUCACACGCUUCUACUCAGGAUUAGAGAAGCUAGAAUUUUCAGUAAGUUCGAUUUCAUUUUCCCAUUUUUUUCCCUUUAAUUACUCGCUGUUCUCUCUUAGGAAUCAAUUUUGCAACAAUUUUAUUUUUGGGGUAAGAGAAUCCUAUCAGCUUGCGUUGCCAUGGCCCACGGGGACCAUGCGAGCAGGUGAUUUUUUUUUUCCCAAAAAAUAAUUACAAUGGAUGAUUAGGGCAAAAGAACGCACGGUACACAUCAGCAGAAGCGACUAAUGGGAGGACAUGCGUGAGCAUCUUCAACUGGGGCUGCAGAAUCUUUUCGCAUCCAUUGUGAGUUGACCCAGGUACAUGCCAAGAGAUAAUAUUCUUUACUCCAUAUGAUUAAUAUGAUCAACACCAUUUUGUACAAAUUAUGAUUUGAUAAAUCAAGUAGGAAGUCGGAUGAUAGAAUAAUUAUCCCAAGAUAGUAGAGAAGAGCAGCAAUAUAAACCACAUACUGAUUCAACUCCCGCCAGACAUGUCCAAAAACAGCACAGUGCAAGCCAAUGCACAACCAUCCAAGGACAUGUUGGGUUUUAUGUCUUGUAUUCUAUAAUGGUCCACAUUGUUGUUAUUGUAUUGGACUUGUAAAUGUUUAGGUCAAGUUUUGGAUCUAUUAUAAAUACGAGGGUAGAAUUGUAACUGUGUUGGGAUUAUAGUUUUAGAUUUUUUUUAUACUUUACUUCUAUGGAAAAAAAAGCUCAUUUUUGGAAAUAGUACCGCAUUGUGAUAUUCGAGCGUACCUUCUUUGAUUUUUAAUAUAUUAACUCUUAACCUCA